AUAUUGGUCACAAGUUCCGUUGUUACCAAUAGAGUUUAAUGGAACUUACCACCGCAGUUAGAUAACGAUGCUAUUGGGAAAUGCUCCCCUGUUCAUGCAUAACAACCACAAACACAGAACGAUGAUAGGCUCACCUGAGAUGACAAAUGCCUUGCUUUAGAUAUGAGAGCACUAGUGUAGCCAGAAAUGUUUAAGUGUGUGGGCCUGCAUAAAACUGGUUGGGCCAGGUGUGUAGCAUAUGAAAACUGCAUGUCAAAUUGCCAACAAAAAAUACAGCACCAAGGUUCUUUACACAGUACUUCUAAAGCAUGCAUUAACAUUAGGAGUUUGUUAUGUUAAUGUUCAUUUCAAAAUUUACUAAUAGGACAUUAUUAAAAUUAAAAGUUAACAUUUAAAAGGUUAAUGUGCAAAAGGCGAUAGAGAGAGUGUCAGAGCGCUGUCCUUCAAGGCAGAAUGGGGACUUUUAUUAUGAAACGCGCCUAUAGCUGAUAGCCGGAAGAGACGCUGUUCAUUACUAGGAGAUCGGCAGACUGCCUCCACCACUGCUCGUGAUCGGGUUUUCUGCAUAAACCAGUGUUAGAGACGUGCAUCGUAGUUAAUAUCAGCCACAUUUUGAUUGUAUAUUGUGUUGUGUGCGCCCUAUAAGUGUGAGUACAAAUAAUCCUGCAACGUUAACGUAUGCUUGGUUUUAUCAGUGAUGACGCAGUUAUUAGCUGUUCAGUGUUGCAUGAUAAUGCUAUUAUCUACGUGCUAUUCUUGUAACACAUCUGUUGAUUUACAAUGUUUGGAGUUAUAAUGUUUAUAAUGCUAUAAGUAAUUUAGAUAAAUAAUAGUGGAUGCACUGUUAUACGAAGUGUUUAUACAUCAUUACUGUUAGAGGGGAGCAGCCUAUAGUUGUGUACGAAUAAUAAUACUUGUAAUGGUGGUUUUAUUAGAAUAUUGCUCUGUUUCUUUCAGAGAAACCACACCUUCCACCAUAAUCAUACAUUUCAUGCUUCCACUGAUAGCAACCCAUGUAUGUUCACCAGAAGUGGUCCCAGAGCCCAUACUGAGCAGAGAGUAUUUCCUCUGGAUGUUUCCAAGGAGGCCUCUUUGUCUCUAUCACGUACACCACUUCACGUCCACUGCAGUCCUCAAGUUUAUCUGCCCACAUCCUGUUAGUAGAAACGGACUGAUGUGCAUGUAAAGGCUGACUCCCCUCUCUGAUUCGAUCAUAGUGCAUCUGGGAAAAUAAAACUGUUCCAACUGCUACUUCCCUCUGUGGUGUUCUGACCGACACGCCUGGUUCACUGCGAUUUGAGCUAGCCCUAACAGUAUAAGGUAGCCAUUCACUAUAAUUAACAUUUGCCUGAGCUGGUUAACAAAGAUGAAUAAACACGGUAACAAAUGUAUUGCAAAUGUUAGUUAAUGCAUUAACUAACGUUAACUAAAGGAAGUUUAUUAAAAAGCAUUACCUCAGUGUGAAACAACGGCUUUGCAGAUGAUUUUAUAAUCGAACGUCUCUUGUCAGUUGUAAACAUAACAUUGUGGGUGGGACUAAAAGAAACGGACGAAUCAUAGUUUUGACAAGCAUAUGAUGAUACGCAGGGCCAUAUGCAGGAUUUUAUAAACACCGAGGUCCCAAAAUGGAGAUUGUUAGGGGUAUUCGGGGGCAUGCUCCCCUGAGGAAAUUUUGGUUUUCCUGACUUACAUGUGUGCAUUUUAAGAUGUUUUAAGGAUCAUAAAUUGGAUAAUAAUAUAGGUUUAAAACCAAGUCAGUGGGCAGUAGUUGUAUAAGUUAUUUUCAAGAUAACAGAUUCUUAAACAUGAGAAUCAGAUUAAAUGUUGCAAUGCAUGAUCCAUGCUACAAACUGGAAAUAGAGAAGAUAUCGUUUGUUUAUGAAUUUAAUAAACUCAAGUUAUAAUUAUCCUGGUAGCCUUCAGUAAAAUAGAGUGUCUAAAAUGAUUAAACAUGAAUAUUAUAAUUUUUUUAAAAUAUUUUUAAUUCACACUUACAGAAAUCUGUUCUAAUAAGUUUAAAUUGAUUUUUAUAUUUUAUGGGCAUUUUUAUGUUUAUUAAGCCAUUUUUUCUAAAAUUGUCCAUAGAGGUCGACCGAUAGUGGAUUUUACCGAUAGCUAGGUUGGACCACACUGGCCGAUACCGAUUAAUCAACCGAUAGUUUUCAAAAUGGAUACUGAAAGAGAGCUAGUGCUAUACUAUUUAAAAAAAAAAAAAAAAAAAAAAAAAAGCAGCAACAGUACUGAACCAUACUUUGUAAAUGAAUAAAAAUAUUAAUAUUAUUUACUAUAUUGAUCAUUAAAGUUAUUUCAUAAUCUGCUAAUGUUAAAAGAAGAAACUUUAAAAUGUAAAAAUAUAGCCUAUGAGUAGCUAAUAGUGAAUGUUGAAAUGAAAACACUCUAACAAGGAACAAUACUUCUACAGUUUUCAUUAAUGCUACGAAUGGACUUAUUGUUAAAUGUUACCAUUUAAUUUCAACAGUCAUGCUUAAAGAUGGCCAUGUUUAAAUAUCUACACAAGGCCACAGCAUUAAAAUUACAUACAUAUGGAUAUUGUAUGUGUACUCACACACUUUAUUUGCUUCUAUUUUUUAACACUUGAUAAUUAUCUAAUCAAAAAAAAAAAGCGGAGCGCUGCGUCUAGGAGAACUCAGAGGUAUCACGCACACACACACACCAGACGCUUUGCGUUCAAAUCAAGUGGCAGUCUAAAACAAUUUAUUUAAAUCACCAAACGGACAUAAGUUUGCUUUAAGAAUGAACAAUGUGGCAUAAAUGAGUUUGAAGUUCGGUGUUUAAAAAAACAGAGCAAGUGGAAAGAGAACGCGCGAUCUAUUACAGCUCUCUACAUGAAGCAUACCGACUUUAUUAGAGCCACAGAAAGACAAACGUUUUGCUGAAAAAUGCACAAUACAUAAUUUAUAGUCUAGGGUGAAGUCAUUAUAUACAUUCACAAUGAUUUGGGACAAAUAUAAUGUAAUUUAAUCGAAAACUAUGUGAAUGGCGCUCUGUUUCGCGGCAGGCUUUUCUGUCGGCUGCAUUUAAAUGCGCAUCUGGAGUUUCCCGCUCUGUGCCGCGCGCAGUGUCACGUGUCAAAAUAAACAACACGUGCUGUCAGUGAUUUCCGCCUCUAGAGGCCGCUCUAUUUAUUAUUAUUAUUUAUAGUUGUGGCAACCAACUAUCGUUGCCGAUUAAUCGGCAAAACCGAUGAAUCGGCAAAACCGAUGAAUCGGUCGAUCUCUAAUUGUCCAUUUGUCUUUUGAGUCAAAUUCUUACAUUUAAUCAGUGAAUUAGAAUAAUAAGACAUUUGGGCUGUUAUCAAGCAAAGAAAAUCAAAUCAACUCAGAAGCUGCGUCUGAAGUGGCAUUUAGAUGCAUUUACACACUGUUUAAUGCAAGACAUGAAUGCAUUUAACUGCAAUUACAAAUGCAUAAAUAAUGUUUUGAUAUAUUAAAAAUAAAAGGUUAAAUACUGAUAUUUGAAAUGAUUUAAAACAUGAAAAAAAUCGAAAUGUGAAAUUAAAACCACCAAAAGGUGGCAGCAAAUCACUGUUAAUAAGUGAGUCAUUGCGAUCGAACCGAAUCAUUUAAACGGUUGAUUCAUUCAGGAACGAAUCACUGUCAUGUUGCUCAGAAAUGCAAAACUGUGGUUGUGUUUGGAAUUAUUUUUGUUGGUGAAAUAGAGCAAAAACAGGCAAUAUGGUGUCUAAAACGUAAGUCCUCUUAAUGAACUUUUUGUUUAUUGAGCUGUUGUAAAAAAAUCCAUAUCACAUUUGUAAUUAUGGUAAUUUUUGGAGAAAAAUGGCACUCUUCGUGUGAAAUUGAUUAACUAUAUGAAGUGGUAUAAAUAUAUACAUUUUCUGCCCCAUGUCUUGAAUUUGUGAUCAUUUUAAAUGCAUUUUAAUAGACUGAAUCAUGCAGUGAAAGAACGCACUCUAAAUGCGCAGAGACCGCACUCUAGUCUAGACUUCACAUAAUGUAUGCGUGCGCUCUGUAGGGGUGUUUUGAAUGGUUUUUGCAAAAUACUCGAUCAUGUCAAAUCGCACAUCGACAACAACAAUUACGAUAUUAUUGCAGACUAUAUAUCGCACACCCCUACUGCUGAGGCAUCUCAGAUGAAAAGAUCUGUUACCUUGGCUUUUUAUCCUUGCAGCACCAAAGCAGAAUUAAUAUAAGGUCAUUAUUUUACAACUUCUGUUAUUGGAAAAAUACAGAGGUCCGGACCUCAAUGGUGGGUCCGGCCCUGAUGAUAUGCACCUAUACUUACUUACUUACUCCUCUUCAUCCCCUAUGAGACAUAAGGCUUCAAUGAGCACUCUCCAUUGCAUUCGGUCCCUGGCAGCAUGUUGGGCCUCUCCCCAUGACAGGUUCAUCUGUUCCAGCUCUUGUGUCACAGUUCUGCGCCAGGUGGUUUUAGGCCUCCCAGGUUUUCUUUUACCAGGUGGUGUCCAUCUUAAGGCGAUUUUUGUGAUGCGGUCCUGCUCCAUCCUCAACACAUAUCCUAGCCAUCUCAGGCGUCUGUGCAUAAUCUCCUUGGUGAUGCUCCAACUUCCCGUUUUCUUGUACAGUUCAUUGUUGGAGAUCUUAUUAGGCCAAAAUAUCUGGCAUAUUCAUCUGAGGCAUCCAUUAUGGAACACUUCCAUUCUCCUCAUGUCUGUUUUGACAGCAGAACCGUACAGCAGAACGGACUUUACAUUGCUGUUAUAUAGGAGCAUCUUCGUUUUAAGACUGUAUUGUUUUGAUCUCCAGAUAGACCAGAGUUGGGAGAAGGCACCCUGAGCCUUUCCCAGCCUUGUUUUAAUAUCUUUAGAUGCCCCGCUGUCCUUACUGAUGAGACUGCCCAGAUAGGUGAAAUCUUCCACAAACUCAAGUGGUUCAUCAUUAACAAGUAUGGGUGCUGUGGGGAUGGAGUUGACACACAUCACUUGUGUUUUGGAGGUGUUGAUACUGAGCCCAACUUGUAUGGCAAAGUUGUUCAGCCUAUCAGUCUUAGCCUGCAUGUUGUACUAGUUGGUUGAUAGGAGAGCAAGAUCGUCAGCGAAGUCAAGAUCUUCCAGCUGGGAGAACAGAUUCCACUGGAUGCCUCUGGAUCUGUCUGCUGUGGUGUUGGUUGUGAUCCAGUCUAUGGCGACCAGGAAUAGGAUAGGGGAGAUGAUGCACCCCUGUCUCACUCCCGACUGCACGGGAAACCACUCAGAGAGGAGUGCAGUAUCUUCCAGAGGGUGUUUCGGUGGACACUGUCGAAGGCCUUCCUGAAGUCCACGAAAUUGAUGUAGAGGGGUGUAUUCCAUUCCAAGCAUUGCUCUAUGAUAUUACGCAGAGCAAAGAUCUGGUCCAUUCAUCCUCUUCCCUUCCUGAAGCCUGCUUGCUCCUGUCUAAUCCUGGUGUCAAUGGCUGUCUCUCCAUCCGGUUAAGAAGGACUCUGCAGAACACCUUGCUUGGAAUAGAUAGAAGAGUAAUUCCACGGCAGAUGUCGCAGUUCUUAAUGUUGCCUUUCUUAGGGAUUUUGACAAUAAGACCUUUGGACCAGUCCAGUCCAGCCAACACUGAGAUCAUUCCGCACGUGCACACGCUUGAGUGACUUCGCGGGAGAAACAGCGCCGCCAUCUUUGUCAAGUUCACGAGUUAGGGUGUGGCCCAAGGUUUCAUUGGUGCUUUGUCAUCACUGCAAGAUUUCAGAUGCAACCCAGUCAGUUCUUCCAAGGCACCAAACACCAGACCGCUCCACUGCAACUACAUACUGUGUGUACCUUCAAGACUAGGAGUUUAAUGUUUUCAUUCCAGGUAAUGUGUGUAAAUGUUUAGAGUGUUUUCUAAAAUUAAAAUGUGCUUUAUUGUUCUCAGUGGCAUCUACGCUAAUAUUAGUCUGUUUCAUUCUUAUUCCGAGGUCACCAUAGCCACCCAGAUCCAGUCCGUAUCCAGAUAAGAUGGUGGAUCAGCACCUAGAGACGACCUCUACAGCCCUGAAUGUCAGCGGAGACCAUGUCAGCUAGAUGAGCUCCAGAGACGGAUCCCCAGUGAAGACCUCGUUGGCCAUCAGGACAAGACAACGAGAACCAGACAAGUCCUCUGCUCAAUCUGACCUGUGCAGGAAUUAAACCAUGCCAUGCUGGUUUCAUCUGGUCAGAGGAGAACUGCCCCUCGACUGAGCCUGGUUUCUCCCAAGGUUUUCUACUCCAUUUCUGUCACCUAUGGAGUUUUGGGUCCUCGCCGCUGUCGCCUUUGGCUUGCUUAUUUGGGGACGCUUGGCUGAUUGCAUAGACACUAUUGGAAGAGAGCUGAACUGAAUGAUGAUUUCAUUGAAUCAUCAAUGAACUGACUUUAACUGGAAAAAUGACUUCUUAAUGUCGUCUUGCAUUAUUAACAAACUAUUUUCCUGUUUGACUGUAAAGCUGCUUUGAUGCGAUCAGUAUUGUAUGAAGUGCAUUAUAAAUAAAGGUGACUUGACUUGAUUUUAUAUACUGUAACACCUGGUUCAUUUUUUUUUUUUUUUGUGACAUCUGCCUCAUUUUAAAGAUGUAAUUGUGAACAGUAGAAAUAUUUGUAAAUGUUUGUUUGUUAACAUUUUGUUUAGCUUGUUUAGGUUUUUCUUAGUUCAUUAAAGUUUAAACUGAAUUUUGCAGUUGUAUUACAGAUGUAAGGUUUGUCAGCUGGAGCUUUAAAGGGAUAGUUCACCCAAAAGUGAAAAUUUGCUGUUCAUUUACUGACCCUUAGGCCAUCCGAGAUGUAGGUGACUUUUUUUUCUUUAAGCCUGUAUGUUUAGUCUGUAUGACAAAUGGUAUAAAUGGAGACUGUUAUUAAAUAAUGGCUAUUAUGUGUUGUAAAUUGUGUGUUUUUAGUGAUUGAUAAACACCAGUUAAUCAUUUUUAAUAAUUUUGUUAAACUAUAAGAAUAUAUGUUUUAGUUCCCCCGCAAUUUCUUAUGAUGCCCAAAUAAUAAAUCUUAGUUGAGGUAACAUAUAAAACACAUGGAGUAAAGUGUUACAUUUUAAUUGACAUAACUUGCUGUAGUCUUCUAAAUGCUUGACCAAUUAAAACAUUUUAUUUGAAUGGACUAUAAAACUACUUUUUAGAGUGUAGACAGUGUCUGUUCCCUGAAUACUGAGGACAAAUGAUAUGCUUACUAAGGGAUAUAGAAUAAAAUCAGUUUGCGAUUUAACCAAAUUAUAGCAAAGUAAGCUAAAUAAUGUCACAAAACUCUGGACUAUUGAUAGUACCCAGAAUAUCCAGUAAAUGUAGUGUCCAGUAAAGGAGGCAGAGAUUUUUUGUAUUUUUGUAUCAAAUAGCCUUCUGAUAUUGUUUGGGGCUCAGACGCACUCUCUCUCUGUUUAAAUCUAGAUUAAAAAUACAUCUUUUAGCCAAGCAUUCACACAACACAUCUCAUAACCUUGUACUCUAGUAAUAAAUGCACAAUCAUUCUUCUCCUUUUGUUUUCCUGUUUCUAUG